rnacentral:rRNA from 1 species
GAUGAACGCUGGCGGCGUGCCUAAUACAUGCAAGUCGAGCGAACAGACGAGGAGCUUGCUCCUCUGACGUUAGCGGCGGACGGGUGAGUAACACGUGGAUAACCUACCUAUAAGACUGGGAUAACUUCGGGAAACCGGAGCUAAUACCGGAUAAUAUAUUGAACCGCAUGGUUCAAUAGUGAAAGACGGUUUUGCUGUCACUUAUAGAUGGAUCCGCGCCGCAUUAGCUAGUUGGUAAGGUAACGGCUUACCAAGGCAACGAUGCGUAGCCGACCUGAGAGGGGGAUCGGCCAAACUGGAAAUGAGACAAGGGCCAGACUCCCAAGGGAGGCAGCAGUAGGGAAACUUCCGGAAUGGGCGAAAGCCUGAAGGAGCAAAGCCGCGUGAGUGAUGAAGGUCUUCGGAUCGGAAAACUCUGUUAUUAGGGAAGAACAAAUGUGUAAGUAACUAUGCACGUCUUGACGGUACCUAAUCAGAAAGCCACGGCUAACUACGUG